rnacentral:rRNA from 1 species
CCCUUAGAUGUUCUGGGCCGCACGCGCGCUACACUGACGCAUUCAACGAGUCUAAAACCUGGUCUGAUAGGGCUGGGUAAUCUUUUGAAUGUGCGUCGUGAUUGGGAUAAAUGAUUGUAAUUCUUCAUUUUCAACGAGGAAUGCCUAGUAAACGCAAGUCAUCAGCUUGCAUUGAUUACGUCCCUGCCCUUUGUACACACCGCCCGUCGCUCCUACCGAUUGAGUGGUCCGGUGAGGCUUUGGGAUCUGAGCGGAAAGAGCGUUUCGCUGUUUCUGCCCGGAAAACUCAGUCGAACCUUAUCAUUUAGAGGAAGGAGAAGUCGUAACA